rnacentral:rRNA from 1 species
CGCCUGCCUAGUGACCCACUUUUAACGGCCGCGGUAUCCUAACCGUGCAAAGGUAGCAUAAUCACUUGUCCUCUAAAUAAGGACUGGAAUGAACGGCUAAAUGAAGACUAAACUGUCUCUUGCAGGCCACCUAUAAAACUGAUCUUCUAGUCAAAAAGCUAGAAUUUUAACACAAGACGAGAAGACCCUGUGGAGCUUAUAAACCAAACCCAUAACAUGACCCCUUGGUUUUUAGUUGGGGCGACUUCGGAGUACAAAAAAUCCUCCUAUUAAAUACCCAGAUAAACAUAUCAAACAUUUGUCCUGACCCAGUAGCUCAAUGCUAACUGAUCAAUGAACCAAGUUACCCCAGGGAUAACAGCGCUAUCCUCUUUUAGAGUUCUUAUCGACAGGGGGGCUUACGACCUCGAUGUUGGAUCAGGACACCCCAAUAGUGCAACCGCUAUUAACGGUUCGUUUGUUCAACGAUUAAAGUCCUACGUGA